rnacentral:misc_RNA from 1 species
GUGAGUCAUCGAAUCUUUGAACGCACAUUGCGCCCGCCAGUAUUCUGGCGGGCAUGCCUGUUCGAGCGUCAUUUCAACCCUCGGAUCCCCUAGGCCUCACGGCCCGGGGGGACCGGUGUUGGGGCUCGGGCUGCCCUCGCGGCGGCCCGUCCCCUAAAUACAGUGGCGGUCUCGCUGCAGCCUUCCCUGCGUAGUAGCACACCUCGCAGGCCGAAGCGCGGCAAGCCCACGCCGUAAAACCCCCGACUUUUUCAGGUUGACCUCGAAUCAGGUAGGAAUACCCGCUGAACUUAAGCAUAUCAAUAAGCGGAGGA